rnacentral:rRNA from 1 species
UAGUCCACACCGUAAACGAUGAGAGCUAGUUGUCUGCAAGCAUGCUUGUAGGUGACGCAGCUAACGCAUUAAGCUCUCCGCCUGGGGAGUACGGUCGCAAGAUUAAAACUCAAAGAAAUUGACGGGGGCCCGCACAAGCGGUGGAGCAUGUGGUUUAAUUCGAUGCAACGCGAAGAACCUUACCAGGUCUUGACAUCCUGAAAACUUUCUAGAGAUAGAUUGGUGCCUUCGGGAAUUCAGUGACAGGUGCUGCAUGGCUGUCGUCAGCUCGUGUCGUGAGAUGUUGGGUUAAGUCCCGUAACGAGCGCAACCCUUGUCCUUAGUUACCAGCGCGUUAUGGCGGGGGACUCUAGGGAGACUGCCGGUGACAAGCAGUGAGGAAGGAGGGGAUGACGUCAAAUCAUCAUGGCCUUUAUGCCUAGGGCUACACACGUGCUACAAUGGUAUUGACAAAGGGCUGCGAACUGGUGACAGUAAGCGAAUCCCAAAAA